AUUGAACGCUGGCGGCAUGCCUUACACAUGCAAGUCGAACGGUAACGGGUUAAGCUGACGAGUGGCGAACGGGUGAGUAAUGUAUCGGAACGUGCCCAGUCGUGGGGGAUAACUGCUCGAAAGAGCAGCUAAUACCGCAUACGACCUGAGGGUGAAAGCGGGGGAUCGCAAGACCUCGCGCGAUUGGAGCGGCCGAUAUCAGAUUAGGUAGUUGGUGAGGUAAAGGCUCACCAAGCCGACGAUCUGUAGCUGGUCUGAGAGGACGACCAGCCACACUGGGACUGAGACACGGCCCAGACUCCUACGGGAGGCAGCAGUGGGGAAUUUUGGACAAUGGGCGCAAGCCUGAUCCAGCCAUGCCGCGUGCGGGAAGAAGGCCUUCGGGUUGUAAACCGCUUUUGUCAGGGAAGAAAAGGUUCUGGCUAAUACCUGGGACUCAUGACGGUACCUGAAGAAUAAGCACCGGCUAACUACGUG
rnacentral:rRNA from 1 species